AUUCGGAUUAGUCCAUUAAGCCUAGGGACCCUUCUAGACUCUUCUUUGGAACAAAAACAAAUAAAAAAGACCCUAAAGACUUAACACAAAAAGACGUAGGGACUAAUUAGCAAAAUACACAAAAUAAUAACCUAAACCUAGACUCUACAUAAAGAGAAUAUCUAAAGGGGGAGGACGCCUAAUUUUUUUGCAAAAGUAGCGCCAUUUUUUGGAAAUGUUUCGGACCCCCCCUCAACCUUAUGUAAUCUCUUCUUCGUGAAGACUAAACUUCUGCAGCCUAACACCGGAAAACACCCAUAGCUGACCCUUCUCCAUCUUCUUCUUCAACUCCUCCUCUCACCAGUCAGUGGCGAGCACGCCGGAAAACACACAGAGCUCCAUCGCCACUGCUCUUUCUUCUUCGUCUAUCACAGCUACAACAACCAUGAAACCUGCUUGAAUCCUCCGUGAAACAGUUCCUCAAAUCAGCUCCGAAAACAGAUCCAAACCCAGCGUUGAAAACACACGAGAGAAGCAGCCUCAUCUUGGCAUAGGAACAACAGCUCGAACUGUUGCUGUUUUCGCAGAGAAACAUCCUGAAACAAUUCUAAACCACCCGUUACUGUCAUGGAGUUUGCUGGUCUCGUUUUCUAGUUUAUUUCGAAUUCCGGCGAGGUUGGUGUAAUUCGAGUUUCCGGCGCCACUGAAGUUUUUCGGUCUAAGGUUCUUUUCGGUGUCUAUUCCUUGAUCCAAGUUGAAGGACGGAACUUGAUGUUGCUGUAACCAAAGGAAUUCUGCUCCUUAUCGAUCAAAUCUCAAAGAAUAUUUUGGUUCCAUUUGAGAUGCAUGUAUUUGUUCACCCGGUAGCAGGUUUUGAGCUGGUCGGAGGCUAAGUUAUCGAAGUUUAGUGAGGUGACUGCUGGCGUUCGUAGCACUGCAUUUAUUCCUUUUGUUUAUCAGUCCUAUUUUGUAUAUUUCAGGCCUUGUAGUUGUAUUUAUACUCUAAUAGAUGCUCGUGACUUGUGACACCCCGGUUUGGGCUGUGUUUGGGUUGUAUUCCGCACUUAAUAAAGAAAUCUUUUGUUUA